rnacentral:misc_RNA from 1 species
UUCCAUACACAUACCUCAGUUAAAAAUAGUUACUUUUUAAUGAUGAUUACUUGGCAAGUUUUAAUAGAAAAUUAAAUACUUGAUUCAUUGCGUGUAGUAGGUUUAUAACAAGGUGUGUGAAAUCUUGCCAAGUAACAUUAUUAAAAAGUAACUAUUUUUAACUGAGGUAUGUGUAUGGAACUUGGUACUUAUUAAGAUCUCACUUCUUUUAUAGGCGAAGCAUUCCCAUAUUAUCGAACUUGGCAGUCUUUCACAUUUUUGUUUUGGGUGGGUAGAAUUUAAUGUGAUUAGGUACGACACAUCUGAUAUAUCCAGAUGUUUUUGGCCUAUGCCUGUUGAACGAGUAUUUGUCAAAAAUAAUAAAUUAUCAUGUAUUUUUUAACAAGACGAAAAUAGCUUAGCAGCGUAUAGAAGCUUGCUUCGUAGCUGCUGGCGUAGCAUAGCAGCGUCGUAGCUGCUGGCGUAGCAUGGCAGCGUCGUAGCUGCUGGCGUAGCAUGGCAGCGUCGUAGCAGCGUAGCGUGCCAACAAAUAGUUUAAUCGGCAAUAUAGUGUGAGCGGGGCGGUGGAGACAAAGGAUUAAUGAAAUCAUUGAGCAGGCAAUAUCAUGUCACAAUUGGUAGGUAAUUACGCGCGGCGAGCGAGCCGAGCGCCUCGCCGGCCGCGCUCGCCAGUCGACGCUCGGGAGCCGGCGGCGCGGACGUGUCGUGCGGCGCUCUCGCGGUGCUCUUCGCGGCAACUAGUUCACGUGCGUCGAGUUUAUCCUGUGUUCAUCCAGUGUGUGCUGCUAUUCAUUAUUGCAUUACUAAUCUACAUUAACAUAUUUAAACUAACUAAACAUGGAGUUUACGUCAUCAUCUCAGUGAAAAAGUUUAUUGUAGCCCAAAAAUAUUGUGAAGUUAUUCUUAAAUCUGUUGCUCUUGUUUUUUAACACGCUUAUUUAUAAUCGCACAUCACUUUAGUAACAGUGAAUUUAAUAUUUUAAAAAGUGCAGUGAAAUCAGUUUAUCAGGCAGUUGCUUGAAUGAGACUCACAGUGAUGUUACAACAUAUAUCUGUCAUUCACAAGUUUAAGUUGAGGUGUGCGAGCAUCAGGUCGGCGUGCUGACUUGCUGAGCGCCGCUGACCGAGUGUCACGCUCCGGGUACAUUUGCUGCGGACUGCUACGGAAGCUACGAGCGCUACGACGCUACGUAGCACGUGUAGCCGCCGGAGGCGCUCGGUGCUGAACGUAACAACAGACUGAUACUUACUACACUGCCGACCUACGCCUGAUUGUUGUGUGCUUUCUUAUAACGUCGUACAUUCCCGAACCACUCUGUGCUACUCGUGUCACACAGUUCUAAAAUGUUACCACUACACAAACACUAAAUUCUUGCUAUGAAUUCCGUCACUGUUAUCUAUCGCAUAAAAAAUGAAAACUUACAGCUCGACUACGGUAACUAGUCUCGCCGCUUCCAAAACCACCGACCAAAUGCAAUAACCAUCUCGGCCAAUCAAACGAUUUUUUAAUGCUUUUAGUUUUAGCUUCUGUACAAGAAUAGUUCUUAAUGUAAAUAUUUUUAUGGACUAAAUAAAAAAUAUUGAAUGAAACGACUAAUAAAUGACCUAAUCAGGUUAAGAGAACACUGCAAACUUUUAGUCAGCCGAUAGUUUGUUUGAGCUCAUAAUCUAGAUGGAUGAUGAUAAUAUAAUCGGUCACGGAGGCUGCUGUUAUCGUUUAGAGUUAGCCAACUGCGAAGGGCAUGUUAUAGUGCACAAGCAUGUGCACGAACACAAGUGCAACACCGGAGAGAGAUCAGACUCCGGGAAACUUAGUGAAAGUUUCUGAAACCCACAAAGCGAAUGCGGGCCGGUGCACGACCCGGAAAUCAAACCCGAUCCCUCAUGUACAGCAGCCACGCUAUGCGACAGCUAGACAUACAUUAUAAAUAUCAGGUUGUUUUAGCAUCAGCACCUGCAACACAAGCCAAUAAAUAAGUUUAUCAUGGGGCUAACCGACCGUGUGUGCAAGAUAUAUUAUUAUUAUUUCUCGUUACUUUUUAAAUACCUCACAUCUAUACGUGGGUGAAAUUGGCACGGGCCGAAGCCAGGUACGGUUAAGUAGAAUUAAUUGUUGUUAUUAAGUAUUUAAUCAUGUUCGGGUUAAUCUGCAUGUGUUUACAACAGCUUUUUUCUGGAAUAGAAUAGAAUAGAACCUAUAAAUAGAUAUAAGUAGACAGACUAAUUAUCAAUAACUUGGGCUAUUGUAUAGGUUGUUUGGGAUGACUCCUGCUAGAUAUUUUGCUGGAUAGUGUGAUAGAAUUGUCUUGACAUGGGUAAUAUUCCAGUGUGUUAGUAUCAAGAGGGCAACAGGGACAUGAGCGGCUGAAGAGGUUACCUCGGUAUACUUUAAACGCAGAUCACGCGCUCCGUGUGCGCACACUCGCCACUUAUGUGUGACUUGU